rnacentral:lncRNA from 1 species
AGUUGGUUCAAAUCAGGAUCCAAAAUUAUUAUAUUAAGUAUUGUGCAAUAGCAAGAAAUUUUCAAUUGCACAGUAUUCAGCAAUAGCAAGAAAUCUUCAAUUGCACAGUAUUGUGCAAUAGCAAGAAAUUUUCAAUUGCACAGUAUUGUGCAAUAGCAAGAAAUCUUCAAUUGCACAGUAUUGUGCAAUAGCAAAUAUUUUCAAUUGCACAGUAUUGCGCAAUAGCAAGAAAUAUCUAAUUGCACAAUAUUGUGUAAUAGCAAGAAAUUUUCAAUUGGAGUUAUCUUUCUUUGUUCAGAAUAGUAGUUGAAUCAACUUAAAUCAUUGUUUUAUACAAUAUACAAUGUAUAUUCACUUUUACUACCAACCAAUCUUUACCAUUCAGUGAUAACAAGCACUUUAUUUUACAUUUUAAUAUUUUAUGAUGUAUUUAAAAGAGUAGUUAUUGUUGCAAACUCCAAUAGAAAUUUGAAUUGAUAUCAGUUUUGGAAAAAGGGAAAGGGGAUGUGAAAAAAAAAUGGCAGGGGGGGGGGGGUUAAAUUUUUCUCAUUUCAGAUUUCAUAAUAAAAAGAAAAUUUCUUCAAACAUUUUUUUGAGAGGAUUAAUAUUCAACAGC